rnacentral:lncRNA from 1 species
CACCCAUCCCGAGAAGGCCACGCCGCCUUCAUUAAAUGCGAAGGACGCCGGCCCGAUAACCCCUGACGCGUGGCGGAAGGGCCGCGAUUCGAAAUUAAAUUGCCCGCGCCGAUUCGUGUUCCCGACGGGACGCUUGACAGCUCCCCGCGCUUCCAGAACCAGUGCUGGGCGGUGGUUUGCAUUCCCUAAAAGGCGCCGGACACCCGAUCGCCUGACACCGAAUCGUCCGACACCC